rnacentral:tRNA from 1 species
GGUAAAAUGGCUGAGUGCUUAAGCGGUGGAUUGUACCCCCAUAGACAGAGGUUCAAGUCCUCUUUUACCA